rnacentral:sRNA from 1 species
UCUUAGCAAGGGUAUCUACCAAAAAGCUAGGGCUACACGCUGAUUUACUAGCACAUCAUUUAGAUUUAUUUUAAGUCAUGAAAUACAGAGCUUCCUCUUUCGAUAUUUUCAGAAUCCAAAGAAAAUAAAUGCAGUUACUUCGAGGAAAUUCAGUGGAAAACUCUCAUGAGUUUUUGAAUCUCGCGAACCCCUUGAAUCAGGGUUGAGGCGCUAAAAAUAAUCCAAGAUUUUUGGCGUGGUAAAUCAGCUACACAAC